rnacentral:rRNA from 1 species
CCUACGGGAGGCAGCAGUAGGGAAUCUUCCGCAAUGGGCGAAAGCCUGACGGAGCAACGCCCCGUGAGCGAAGAAGGCCUUCGGGUCGUAAAGCUCUGUUGUCAGGGAAGAACAAGUACCGGAGUAACUGCCGGUACCUUGACGGUACCUGACCAGAAAGCCCCGGCUAACUACGUGCCAGCAGCCGCGGUAAU